rnacentral:rRNA from 1 species
GUAGGGAAUAUUGGGCAAUGGAGGCAACUCUGACCCAGCCAUGCCGCGUGCAGGAUGACGGCCCUCUGGGUUGUAAACUGCUUUUAUACGGGAAGAAAAAAUACUACGUGUAGUAUACUGACGGUACCGUAAGAAUAAGGAUCGGCUAACUCCGUGCCAGCAGCCGCGGUAAUACGGAGGAUCCAAGCGUUGUCCGGAUUUAUUGGGUUUAAAGGGUGCGUAGGCGGAUCUUUAAGUCAGUGGUGAAAGCCUACAGCUUAACUGUAGAAUUGCCAUUGAAACUGAAGAUCUUGAAUGUGGUUAAAGUAGGCGGAAUGUAUCAUGUAGCGGUGAAAUGCUUAGAUAUGAUACAGAACACCGAUAGCGAAGGCAGCUUGCUGAACCAUUAUUGACGCUGAGGCACGAAAGCGUGGGGAGCGAACAGGAUUAGAUACCCGGGUAGUCC